GCGGGAAUAGCUCAGUUGGUAGAGUACGACCUUGCCAAGGUCGGGGUCGCGAGUUCGAGUCUCGUUUCCCGCU
rnacentral:tRNA from 1 species